rnacentral:rRNA from 1 species
GAGAGGACCGGAGUGGACGCAUCACUGGUGUUCGGGUUGUCAUGCCAAUGGCACUGCCCGGUAGCUAAAUGCGGAAGAGAUAAGUGCUGAAAGCAUCUAAGCACGAAACUUGCCCCGAGAUGAGUUCUCCCUGACUCCUUGAGAGUCCUGAAGGAACGUUGAAGACGACGACGUUGAUAGGCCGGGUGUGUAAGCGCAGCGAUGCGUUGAGCUAACCGGUACUAAUGAACCGUGAGGCUUAACCUU